rnacentral:lncRNA from 1 species
GCAACUUGCUCGAAUCCUUUUUCCGGAAUGUGGAAUCUUUCUUAUUUUCCUUUUCACAGUAGAUCUUCUUGCUUCUCACUUUUUGGGUUCGGAUUUCCGUUAAAAGCUGUAACACUGGGAGAGUCUGCGGCUUCACUCCUAAAUCAGGAAGACCACGAACUCCUCGAGAGAAGCGAACUCUGGACGUGACACUUUUAGGAGCUGUAACACGGCAAAGGUCUGUGGCUUCAUUCCUAACGUCAGAGAGACAACAAACUCACCGGGAAAAAUGAACAACUCCGGACCCGCCACCCUUAGGAGCUGUAACACGGCCAGGGUCUGCGGCUUCACUUCCGAAGUAAGCAAGACCACGAACCCACCAGAAGGAAGAAAUUCCGGACACAUGUGAAAGGAACAAACGACUGACACACCAUUUUUAAGAACCGCAACACUCACUGCGAGGGUUCGUGGCUUCGUUCUUGAAGUCUGUGAACCCAAGAACCCUCCGCAAGGAACCAGUUCCAGGCCCACGGCUAGACUUUCUUAUUCAGCAUACCGGGGGCAGGGAAAAAAGAGAUACUCAAUAUUUAUAUCUUUAAGAAUGUUUAAACGCUGGUAUAGCUGAAAUUGGGAACCAACGUCUUGAAACCCACUGUUCUAAUAAAAAACAGAUGGAUGCAAAAGGACAAUGCGUUGACACUCCAAGUCGACCUGGUGGUGGUCACUGUGCCCUGGCAGGUUUUAUUACUGAACGUGGAAUGAGCCCAGCAAACCUGACCACUUGGGUGCGCUGUGCAUUCCUGUUGCUGGGUGGUUGACUGCCAGUUAACCCUGCCCAGCUUUUUCAGUUUCACAGCGUUAGAAUUCCCGAUUUUUAGUGGUGCACACCAAGCAUUGUAUUGACUGUUUCCCAGAAUCCGUUGCAGUUUGCACCUGUUGUACACCAGACCUGGAGGGCCCGGAGACAUGGAAGAGAGCCCC